AAACCCAGGCUAAUACCGCAUACGUCCUACGGGAGAAAGGGGGCUCCGGCUCCCGCUAUCGGAUGAGCCUAUGUCGGAUUAGCUGGUUGGUGAGGUAAAGGCUCACCAAGGCGACGAUCCGUAGCUGGUCUGAGAGGAUGAUCAGCCACAUCGGGACUGAGACACGGCCCGAACUCCUACGGGAGGCAGCAGUGGGGAAUAUUGGACAAUGGGGGGAACCCUGAUCCAGCCAUGCCGCGUGUGUGAAGAAGGCCCUCGGGUUGUAAAGCACUUUCAGUGAGGAAGAACGCCUGGUGGUUAAUACCCAUCAGGAAAGACAUCACUCACAGAAGAAGCACCGGCUAACUCCGUGCCAGCAGCCGCGGUAAUACGGAGGGUGCAAGCGUUAAUCGGAAUUACUGGGCGUAAAGCGCGCGUAGGUGGCUUGAUAAGCCGGUUGUGAAAGCCCCGGGCUCAACCUGGGAACGGCAUCCGGAACUGUCAAGCUAGAGUGCAGGAGAGGAAGGUAGAAUUCCCGGUGUAGCGGUGAAAUGCGUAGAGAUCGGGAGGAAUNACCAGNUNGNNGNCGAAGGCGGCCUUCUGGACUGACACUGACACUGAGGUGCGAAAGCGUGGGUAGCAAACAGGAUUAGAUACCCUGGUAGUCCACGCCGUAAACGAUGUCGACCAGCCGUUGGGUGCCUAGCGCACUUUGUGGCGAAGUUAACGCGAUAAGUCGACCGCCUGGGGAGUACGGCCGCAANNGGUUAAAACUCAAAUGAAUUGACGGGGGCCCGCACAAGCGGUGGAGCAUGUGGUUUAAUUCGAUGCAACGCGAAGAACCUUACCUACUCUUGACAUCCUGCGAAUUUGGUAGAGAUACCUUAGUGCCUUCGGGAACGCAGAGACAGGUGCUGCAUGGCUGUCGUCAGCUCGUGUUGUGAAAUGUU
rnacentral:rRNA from 1 species